rnacentral:tRNA from 4 species
GCGCCCGUAGCUCAGCGGAUAGAGCGCCUCCCUCCGGAGGAGGAAGUCGGGGGUUCGAAUCCCUUCGGGCGCGCCA